UACGAAGGUGGCGAGCGUUACUCGGAAUUACUAGGCGUAAAGGGCAGGUAGGUGGUUCGGUAAGUCUGUUGUGCAAGCUCCCGGCUUAACUGGGAGAGGUCAACGGAAACUGCCGGGCUUGAGUAUGGGAGAGGGUACUGGAAUUCCCGGUGUAGCGGUGAAAUGCGCAGAGAUCGGGAGGAACACCAAUGGCGAAAGCAGGUACCUGGACCAUUACUGACACUCAGCUGCGAAAGCUAGGGGAGCAAAC
rnacentral:rRNA from 1 species